rnacentral:rRNA from 1 species
GGGUUGUGAGGUUAAGCGACUAAGCGUACACGGUGGAUGCCCUGGCAGUCAGAGGCGAUGAAGGACGUGCUAAUCUGCGAUAAGCGUCGGUAAGGUGAUAUGAACCGUUAUAACCGGCGAUUUCCGAAUGGGGAAACCCAGUGUGAUUCGUCACACUAUCAUUAACUGAAUCCAUAGGUUAAUGAGGCGAACCGGGGGAACUGAAACAUCUAAGUACCCCGAGGAAAAGAAAUCAACCGAGAUUCCCCCAGUAGCGGCGAGCGAACGGGGAGCAGCCCAGAGCCUGAAUCAGUGUGUGUGUUAGUGGAAGUGUCUGGAAAGGCGCGCGAUACAGGGUGACAGCCCCGUACACAAAAAUGCACAUACUGUGAGCUCGAUGAGUAGGGCGGGACACGUGGUAUCCUGUCUGAAUAUGGGGGGACCAUCCUCCAAGGCUAAAUACUCCUGACUGACCGAUAGUGAACCAGUACCGUGAGGGAAAGGCGAAAAGAACCCCGGCGAGGGGAGUGAAAAAGAACCUGAAACCGUGUACGUACAAGCAGUGGGAGCACGCUUCGGCGUGUGACUGCGUACCUUUUGUAUAAUGGGUCAGCGACUUAUAUUCUGUAGCAAGGUUAACCGAAUAGGGGAGCCGAAGGGAAACCGAGUCUUAACUGGGCGUUAAGUUGCAGGGUAUAGACCCGAAACCCGGUGAUCUAGCCAUGGGCAGGUUGAAGGUUGGGUAACACUAACUGGAGGACCGAACCGACUAAUGUUGAAAAAUUAGCGGAUGACUUGUGGCUGGGGGUGAAAGGCCAAUCAAACCGGGAGAUAGCUGGUUCUCCCCGAAAGCUAUUUAGGUAGCGCCUCGUGAAUUCAUCUCCGGGGGUAGAGCACUGUUUCGGCAAGGGGGUCAUCCCGACUUACCAACCCGAUGCAAACUGCGAAUACCGGAGAAUGUUAUUACGGGAGACACACGGCGGGUGCUAACGUCCGUCGUGAAGAGGGAAACAACCCAGACCGCCAGCUAAGGUCCCAAAGUCAUGGUUAAGUGGGAAACGAUGUGGGAAGGCCCAGACAGCCAGGAUGUUGGCUUAGAAGCAGCCAUCAUUUAAAGAAAGCGUAAUAGCUCACUGGUCGAGUCGGCCUGCGCGGAAGAUGUAACGGGGCUAAACCAUGCACCGAAGCUGCGGCAGCGACACUAUGUGUUGUUGGGUAGGGGAGCGUUCUGUAAGCCUGUGAAGGUGGCCUGUGAGGG